rnacentral:lncRNA from 1 species
GAGCGCUCGCUGGCUGGCUGGCUAACGGAAAGGCUGGCUGGACUCGGGGAUCCAGCCACACUGCUGGCGGGCAGUGUGCUGUCCUCCCUGCGGGUGCCUUUCUCAGACUGGGGCCCGCAUGAAUUCCACCUCCUGGGAGAAGCUGCCGUCUGCAUGCCUUCCAGGGGCAGCGGCUGCCCUCCAGGGUCUGGAACUUGGGGGUCAUGGUGCCUCGAACUCCUGACUCUGUGGCCCCAAGAGGAAGAGGAAGCUGGGUGGGAUCUUAGGGGCCAUGUGGACUAGGAAGCCCACUGGGGAGUGGACACAUGAAAAGUACUUUGGGACAAGGAGUUCCAAUCAAACAGAAGAUUGGAACCUCAGCACCUCCAAAGCUCACGGACCUGCUGGUGAGGUCUGCCAGGACUGCUGAUUCCACUCAGCCACUCACCACCUGCCCCGUCUGCCAGGUGCCAUAUGUAAGGAUGCUGCAUUUUCUGCUAAUGGGGGUGGGGGAUGGCAGGAGACAUAAUGGGGUGGGGGGGGUCAUUGCUAUUGUCAUCAUCACUCUUUGCCACCCCAAUGACAUUCUAUACCUUCUUUUGCAUCUGAUCUCAAGGCAUCAAGAAUAUGAAGAAAGGCUCUUCUGUCCCCAAAAGGGAGAUCUUACCUUAAGCAAUGGGAUUACCAUUAAGUACAAGA